GCGCACGCGUCGGCCGGGCUAACGAACCCCGGCGCGGAAAGCGCCAAGGAAAACCGUAACGAAGCGCCCGUCCCCCCCGUCUGCGCCCCGUCCGCGGUGUGCGCCCGGGCGGGGGUCGGCGGAGCGCCUCAUCAAUGUGUCAAAACGACUCUCGGCAACGGAUAUCUCGGCUCUCGCAUNGAUGAAGAACGUAGCGAAAUGCGAUACUUGGUGUGAAUUGCAGAAUCCCGUGAACCAUCGAGUCUUUGAACGNAAGUUGCGCCCGAAGCCCUCGGGCUGAGGGCACGCCUGCCUGGGCGUCACGCAUNNNNUGCGCCCCCCUCCACCGCCCCCUUGCAGGGGCGCCGGCGGCGGGGGGCGCGGACACUGGCCUCCCGUGCGCCCUCGGCGCGCGGCCGGCCCAAAUGCGAUCCCCCGGCGGCGCCCGUCGCGACCAGUGGUGGUGUUUGAACGCUCAGCUGUCCGUCGCGCUCCGCGGCACCGUCCGGCCGGGCAUCACGAACGACCCCAGCGCCCCCGAGCGCAUCCGACCGCGACCCCAGGUCAGGCGGGAUCACCCG
rnacentral:rRNA from 1 species